rnacentral:rRNA from 1 species
UACGUAGGGGGCAAGCGUUAUCCGGAUUCACUGGGCGUAAAGGGAGCGCAGGCGGCAUGGCAAGUCUGAUGUGAAAACCCGGGGCCCAACCCCGGGAGUGCAUUGGAAACUGCCAGGCUGGAGUGUCGGAGGGGUAAGCGGAAUUCCUAGUGUAGCGGUGAAAUGCGUAGAUAUUAGGAGGAACACCAGUGGCAAAGGCGGCUUACUGGACGACUACUGACGCUGAGGCUCGAAAGCGUGGGGAGCAAACAGG